rnacentral:rRNA from 1 species
AUACGUAGGGGGCGAGCGUUGUCCGGAUUUAUUGGGUUUAAAGGGUGCGCAGGCGGCCAUUUAAGUCAGCGGUUAAAUCGUGGGGCUCAACCCCAUUCUGCCGUUGAUACUGGGUGGCUUGAUUGCGGUCGAGGUUGGCGGAAUUCGUUGUGUAGCGGUGAAAUGCAUAGAUAUGACGAAGAACACCGAUUGCGUAGGCAGCUGACCAGACCGCAAAUGACGCUCAUGCACGAAAGUGCGGGGAUCGAACAGGAUUAGAUACCCUGGUAGUCCGCACAGUAAACGAUGAAUACUUGUUUUCGGCGAUAUAAUGUCGGAGGCAAAGCGAAAGCGAUAAGUAUUCCACCUGGGGAGUACGCCGGCAACGGUGAAACUCAAAGGAAUUGACGGGG